UACGGGGGGGGCAAGCGUUGUUCGGAAUUACUGGGCGUAAAGGGCUCGUAGGCGGCCAACUAAGUCGGAUGUGAAAUCCCCAAGCUUAACUUGGGAACUGCAUCCGAUACUGGAUGGCUUGAAUCCGGGAGAGGGAUGCAGAAUUCCAGGUGUAGCGGUGAAAUGCGUAGAUAUCGGAAGGAACAUCAGUGGCGAAGGCGGCUUUCUGGACAGAUACCGACGCUGAGGCACGAAAGCUAGGGGAGCAAACAGG
rnacentral:rRNA from 1 species